GCGGCGUGCCUAAUACAUGCAAGUCGAACGCUUCUUUUCCCACCGGAGCUUGCUCCACCGGGAAAAGAGGAGUGGCGAACGGGUGAGUAACACGUGGGUAACCUGCCCAUCAGAAGGGGAUAACACUUGGAAACAGGUGCUAAUACCGUAUAACAAUCGAAACCGCAUGGUUUCGUUUUGAAAGGCGCUUUACGGUGCCGCUGAUGGAUGGACCCGCGGUGCAUUAGCUAGUUGGUGAGGUAACGGCUCACCAAGGCCACGAUGCAUAGCCGACCUGAGAGGGUGAUCGGCCACAUUGGGACUGAGACACGGCCCAAACUCCUACGGGAGGCAGCAGUAGGGAAUCUUCGGCAAUGGACGAAAGUCUGACCGAGCAACGCCGCGUGAGUGAAGAAGGUUUUCGGAUCGUAAAACUCUGUUGUUAGAGAAGAACAAGGGUGAGAGUAACUGUUCACCCCUUGACGGUAUCUAACCAGAAAGCCACGGCUAACUACGUGCCAGCAGCCGCGGUAAUACGUAGGUGGCAAGCGUUGUCCGGAUUUAUUGGGCGUAAAGCGAGCGCAGGCGGUUUCUUAAGUCUGAUGUGAAAGCCCCCGGCUCAACCGGGGAGGGUCAUUGGAAACUGGGAGACUUGAGUGCAGAAGAGGAGAGUGGAAUUCCAUGUGUAGCGGUGAAAUGCGUAGAUAUAUGGAGGAACACCAGUGGCGAAGGCGGCUCUCUGGUCUGUAACUGACGCUGAGGCUCGAAAGCGUGGGGAGCAAACAGGAUUAGAUACCCUGGUAGUCCACGCCGUAAACGAUGAGUGCUAAGUGUUGGAGGGUUUCCGCCCUUCAGUGCUGCAGCUAACGCAUUAAGCACUCCGCCUGGGGAGUACGACCGCAAGGUUGAAACUCAAAGGAAUUGACGGGGGCCCGCACAAGCGGUGGAGCAUGUGGUUUAAUUCGAAGCAACGCGAAGAACCUUACCAGGUCUUGACAUCCUUUGACCACUCUAGAGAUAGAGCUUCCCCUUCGGGGGCAAAGUGACAGGUGGUGCAUGGUUGUCGUCAGCUCGUGUCGUGAGAUGUUGGGUUAAGUCCCGCAACGAGCGCAACCCUUAUUGUUAGUUGCCAUCAUUUAGUUGGGCACUCUAGCAAGACUGCCGGUGACAAACCGGAGGAAGGUGGGGAUGACGUCAAAUCAUCAUGCCCCUUAUGACCUGGGCUACACACGUGCUACAAUGGGAAGUACAACGAGUCGCGAAGUCGCGAGGCUAAGCUAAUCUCUUAAAGCUUCUCUCAGUUCGGAUUGUAGGCUGCAACUCGCCUACAUGAAGCCGGAAUCGCUAGUAAUCGCGGAUCAGCACGCCGCGGUGAAUACGUUCCCGGGCCUUGUACACACCGCCCGUCACACCACGAGAGUUUGUAACACCCGAAGUCGGUGAGGUAACCUUUUUGGAGCCA
rnacentral:rRNA from 1 species